CAUGUAUAUUAAUUUUUAUGAGGCUUGCCGAUUUUGAUAGCUCAAAAAAGGAAGUUGACUGCCAAGCCGUAGUACAGCUCUUCUACCGUGCUCCUGCCACUAAACCACACGUUUCUAAACCACACAUCUGAUAAAACAAACGUGUGGGUUAGAUCUGGAGCCGAUCCACUUUUUUUUAUGAGAGCGCGCUCCCACGAUAGACACUCCCGCUAACCCUGAUUCUAAAACACAAAAGGGGAGUGUCCAGACUAAGAAAAGGGCAGCACAUGUCCCUAUAAAAACCAUCUACAACUACAUUUCUACUCACUGACACUAAGCCACCCAGAGAAGCCAGAAGGAAGCUGUUAACCGCCUGAAGAUCGCUACUGCUGAGCAGCAUAGUCAGUCAAACACGGGUUAUUUAACACGGAACGAAACCCUCACAGAAAUCUGGAAUAGAUUGCAGACAUUUCGCUGGCUGCUAUCAACAACAGACGUUAUGAAGUUUGGCGCACCGAAGGUCCAGCAAUCUACAAUUAAUUGUUUUUGGAAGACAGUGUUUAUCGCUGUUUAUGUGUUUUUCUACGUUGGGGAAUCCUCCGUGCUUCCUACAAUUACAGUCGUUUUGAAUGACACUGUCACACUCCCCUUCUCUGGAUCAUGUGAUGGUUUUAUAGAAUGGAAGCAUCGCCAUGAGAGUGAAUCAGCAGGUGUUACACACACCACGGUCGCUACACUGCACCAAGGAGAAUUCACACCCGGAGUGGGCUUUGAGAACAGGGUUAAACGCGGGGAUGGAGACCUCUAUCUCAACAUCACCUCUGUUGUAUUUAAUGAUAUGGGUUGGUUUGAGUGUCACUGCGACAAACUCCUGACAGUGAGGUACACAUCUACUGCGAAAAGGAUGGAGAGACUGUAAUGAAUGUCACAGCAGGGAAUAUAACCUAUGGCCCUCGGUUUGUGAACUGGGAUUCUGGGUCCAACGAUGCUUACAGACAGGGACACAUUCCCCUCCCCCUCACUGACUUGAGCCUUUAUGAUCAGGGGAAAUACCUAUGUCUCCUCGGACCUGACAAACAGAAGAGAGGAAUUCCAGACUAUGUCUCUCUCACUGUCACUACUAGAGAAACCCGCUCUGAGGACACAGGAAUAAAGAUAGUGUUAGCAUUUGCAGUAGGAUGGUUUGUGAGUUUCUUUACAAGCACAAUGUGUCCUCUGCGGUCCAGAAUGAACUGUUCAGGAUUUAUCUUUGGCUCCGCCCCCAGAUGACCCCAACAUCCAGUGCCUUCAAAAGAGUCCCAACAGAGUUCUGAUGGUCAUAGUGAUGAGAGAGCUACCAUGUGUCCUGAGAGGGAGAAAGAAACCAGAGAGGUGAAUGGAUCCUCUACCAUCAUAGAGAUUGAGGAGAUACUCUAGCCUGGUGUGUGUGUGUGUGUGUGUGUGUGUGUGUGUGUGUGUGUGUGUGUGUGUGUGUGUGUGUGUGUGUGUGUGUGUGUGUGUGUGUGUGUGUGUGUGUGUGUGUGUGUGUGUGUGUGUGUGUGUGUGUGUGUGUGUGGUUAAGAUGAUUAUGGAAUUAAAAUAUCAGAGUUUGAGUUAUUUGGGAACAAGGGGAGACUUCUUGCACUUUGGUCAGUUAGUCAUCGUUUCUUCAGGUUCUCCUGCUUUCAUCUCCUGUAAUUCAUUAUACUAUCAAUGUAUAAUGUGCCUGUUUGGUUCCUGCUGCAUUUGUAAUAUUAUUGAUAUCUGGAAGUGAUUACUGGCCAUCCUGCAAAUGUGAGAACAAUCAAAUUAACACGCUGAAGGAUUUUAUGAUGUUAAUGUAUUUUAUAUUAAUCACUUUUAAUAAAGACUAAGUUUCUUUUUACAUUUUAAAAUGGACUAGUUUAUUAUGAAAUGUAUAAAUAAAACAUUUGUUUCAAUUAAACUAUUCUAAUGAUUUUUCUUCAAUUUAUAAAUAAAUAAAUAGACAUUAAAGUUGACAAAUUCAUUUUACAUUUGUAUUCAUUGUGUAUCCAUGUUUCAUUUUGGAUUAAAUACUGAAUUAACAGAUCAAAAGAUAGUUGGUAAUGCAGAAUUCUAUUCAUGAUUAAUUCAUGUUCCACAUCAAAUGACAGAUACAAACCUUCAAUGUUGUUCUACAAGAUAACACACAAAACUACAAAACAAAACAUUUAAGUACGUGGUUUACAAUAUGUGUGAGGAUGGAUGUUUGACAGAGUACAACAUAGCUAAAAAUAUCAUGUAAUAUUUGAAAUCUUAAUGCAACCAUUUAAAAAAAAAACUUUUUUAACUAGGCAAGUCAUUCUGAUUUACAAUGACGGCCAAACCCGGACAACACUGGGCCAUUUGUACGCCGCCCAUGGGACUCCCAAUCACGGCCGGUUGUGAUACAGCCUGGAUUCAAACCAGGUGUCUGUAGUGACGUUUCUAGCACUGAGUGGGUGUGUCCAAACUUUUGAUUGGUACUGUAUAUAUUUUAGGAGGGGCUCUGUUUUCGACUGGCUUUAAGGCGGCGCUUGUGUGAAAUGCACGUACGUUCAUGGACAACUUCGAUCUACUAAAGCUAGCGCUCUGCUGUUUUCAAACUUUUGCGUAAAGAUGAAUCAUUUACCUGUCUCAUAUCAGCUUGCUUGCGCUCAGAUGGGAGGGGUGGGCAUAUUUGAGGUGUGUCCUUUAAAUCAUGAUAAGUGGUCAUUUCAGCCAGCGCUAGUAGGGAUAUUUAAUACCAACCAGAAGCUGGUUUUAGAAUUAUUCUUGCAUGAAUUAUGACAGUGGAAGCGGAGUCUAUCCAGUCCUGAUGCACACUGCACAUAUGCGCACAGGAGUAAUGUGCUUUAGGUGCCUGUAUAGGCUACUCUAUAUUUAUAAACAAACAAAAAUAGUUUUCCCGUUUUGUUUUACGUGAUUAAAAACUAAACAUGGCCUUUAUUGAGAGGAGGGGAAGCUAUAUUUAAUUGUUUUUGUCCUGCCCAAUGCAUUUGACAGUUGUCAAGACUGUCGUGGAGGGUUUGUUUGGCUCGUGAGUCUGACUGGAAAUAAAUCUUAAUCACCAAUGCUUUAUUAAGUUAAAAUAUCAAGUUCGAGAGGAGAAAUAUUGUGAGUUGACAUUUGCUGCCUUUUUAUAUUGUAGGCAGGCCUACACCGAUUAAACAUCCAAUCUAACGAGAGAAGCUGAACAAAUACAAUUUAAAAGCAGCUUCACUUCUGUGAAAAGGUUUAAUUAAGUUGUUAAAUAAAAGUUCUUCAAAUCUCAAACAGCAAUACUUGAUGUUUGUGAUUCUGUCUUGUGCAUAUGGGAAAAAUCUAUUUCGACACUGCAAGGAGAGAUUGUAUCAUUUCGACACUGCAUGUAGAGAUGGUAUCACUACUGGAACAGUAGAGAGAAAUGAAGACCGCUCAACAGAAUAAUUUAAGAAAAGAAUGCUGGCAGGUAUUUGGUAAAUACAUUUUAUUACCAAAAAAUAAUCAUCCUGAGUAAAUAUUUAUAUGUGAAAUGUGUAGGGAUAUUUAAUACCGAGUUAGUAUUAAUGGCAUGAAUAUUAU
rnacentral:lncRNA from 13 species